rnacentral:lncRNA from 1 species
GGCAGUGUAACUGUGCAUCGGAGACAAUGAAAUAGAGCUUUAGGAACUACUGGACACUGGCUCUGAGCUGACACUGAUUCCAGGAGACCCAACAUAUCACUCCAGUCCACCAGUUACAGUAGAGGCCUAUAGAGGGAAGUCAGCUGCCAUGUUGCAAUUUGCCCUCUGGAGAGACCCACUUCAUAAGGAAGGGAAGAAGGACUCUGGCCAAGAGUCAGUGAGAAAUUGAAUAUCCCAAUCCAUCAACCUGCAAGGAACUGAUCCUGCCAAAAAGCACACAACUUAGUUUGCCAGCAGAUCCCCCUCAAGUUGAGGCUUCAGAUGAUACUACAUACUUGGCCGACAGCUUGAUUGCAAACUCAGGACAUAUCUUGAAGCAAAGGCAGUCAAUUGAGCUGAACUUGUGUCUUGGAUUUAAAAAAAAAAUGAAAAAAUAUUUUUUAAACCCGCUAAUAUUUUGGGUAAUUUAUCAUAGAGCAAUAGAUAACUCAUCCAUCAGCAAAAUAAACAAACAAAUAAAUAACAAUACAAAGAAUGUCACAUAAUGAUAAAGGGAUCAAUUCACUAAAAUUAUAUAGUAAUUUUAAAUAUAUAUGUACCUAAACAUCAAGCUGUGGGAUAUUU